rnacentral:lncRNA from 1 species
CAAUUUUCAAGCCUUGAGGUAUAAUUUUGCAUUCUUUUAGAACCUUUAAAUAUUGGGUUGAUUUCUCUUGAAAAAAUUCUAAUGCUUUGAUUUGUGUUGGCGAUGGACAUUGACUUAUUUUGUGUUAUAUUUAUAUAUUUUGUUGGUUUAGAAAUUGUAAUCGAGCUUAUUGCUGGUCUUUUUCAAUUAUAUCGAUGAUAAUUGUGAUUAAGCAAGCUAUUGAUUGAUUGUAUAGUGUUAGAUAUGCCAUUACAUUUACUUUCUCAAUGUCUGAGAUUCUAAGCUAUCAAGUCGGGGAAAAGACAGAACAGGAUAUUGAACUGCUUGUGAAUCGUCUUGUUGAUUGAUUGGAACAAGAACAUGGAAGGAGCUUGCUCUUCCAAACUUUCAAUAAUACUGCAUGGUUAACAUGAGUUCUUUAGAAAGGCAAUUGAAACCUAAAUAUAUUACAUUUUUCUCAAAACUUGCCUGCUAAUUACUGAUUGAGUUCUUUUAUUCUUGGUCUUACAGUUAUGGUGUCAUUUUGAAAAAGUUUCAGAAACAAGCACGCUUUAAUGAGAAGGAUCAAGAGUUGUAUUGUUGAGUCUGCCCCUGUCGCAGCUCCGAAUUCACGGAUAUUGUUGUCUCAGAAAUUGUGAUAAUAGGAUCUUUUUGUUUUAUGUGCCAGUAUCAGAAGAGUGUUUUUCGAGAGUAGUCUUAUUUCUGAAGGUUAAUGCAGACCAAUUAUUAAAGAGCCAUAUAUUUUUAUUGAAAUCCAAAC